rnacentral:tRNA from 2 species
GCCGGUGUGGCCGAGUGAUAAGGCACAACCAUCAUAUCCAAUCCCUCAACCUAUUGUCAAUAGGUUUCUCAUGUGUCACAAACACAUUUCGGGAUCGCGAGAAAUGGAUGAGAUCGCAGGUUCGAUUCCUGCCGCUGGCA